rnacentral:misc_RNA from 1 species
GAUGAAGAACGCAGCGAAAUGCGAUACGUAAUGUGAAUUGCAGAAUUCAGUGAAUCAUCGAAUCUUUGAACGCAUAUUGCGCUCUCUGGUAUUCCGGAGAGCAUGCUUGUUUGAGUAUCAGUAAACACCUCAACUUCCAUAUCUUUUUUUGAAAUGGGAGUUGGACUUGAGUGAUCCCAACGCUUUUCCUCACCAAAAAGUGGCGGGUUACUUGAAAUGCAGGUGCAGCUGGACUUUUCUCUGAGCUAUAAGCAUAUCUAUUUAGUCUGCCUAAAAAACAGAUUAUUACCUUUGCUGCAGCUAACAUAAAGGAGAUUAGUUCUUGUGCUGACUGAUGCAGGAUUCACAAAGACAGCUUCGGCCGACUUUGUAAACUCGAUCUCAAAUCAAGUAAGACUACCCGCUGAACUUAAGCAUAUCAAUAAGCGGAGGA